UAAUUUUUUCACAUUAUUUGUAAAUAAUAAAAAAACAUGAAAAGAUAUGGUGUUUUAGAAAAGUUAUCCCUAAAACUAUGUUGAGAAAACUUCCCCUCUGCAGUUCAAUAGGUAACACGUUACUAUUAGAAUAAUUGCUGAAAAAGUAUAUCCAGUGUCAGACAUAUAGACAGCCUUCUUUCUUCUAUAUGUAUGUUGUUGUUGUUGUUUUUUCAAUACAUCUAAUAUAGCAAAGGACAUGAUGAUUCCCUUAAUAUAUGUGGAUUUUCGUGCUGUCGCGCAAGCAGAGUAGGACGCUGAUCCAAGUAAACAAAAGUUUUUUAAAAUCAUCAUUGCCGAAGCAUUUCCGUUGGAUUCUGAUUAUGAACGUCAUAGAGGCAAGAGCUACUUAAAAGAGUGUGAAUUAUACAACUUGUGAACGAUCUAAAUAGGGCAAAAGGAAAUAUGGAGGUGCACUAAGUCCUCAAAAAACAAAACAACAAAAGGAGUUCCACAAAAUCACCUUGAAGCCCUGUCCUCUUCAGCAUAUUAACCCAUUGGUCACGGUAUUAAAAAAAGUUUUGCCGAGGACUGCGAGGUACUCAAUAGUCAUGAUGAUGGAGAAGCCAUGCACUGGCAGGGGAGACUUCUUCAUAGCUGCUCCUGUUUUAGCACCAGGGUAGCCAGUGGUGGCUGAAUGUAAGAACGCCUGGAAAGCAGUCAAUGCUUAACACCACUAGACCUUUGAUUCACCUAAUCCUGAGUAUGAAGCACUCACCCACAGUUUGCAAUUUUGCCGAGGACUGCGAGGUACUCAAUAGUCAUGAUGAUGGAGAAGCCAUGCACUGGCAGGGGAGACUUCUUCAUAGCUGCUCCUGUUUUAGCACCAGGGUAGCCAGUGGUGGCUGAAUGUAAGAACGCCUGGAAAGCAGUCAAUGCUUAACACCACUAGACCUUUGAUUCACCUAAUCCUGAGUAUGAAGCACUCACCCACAGUUUGCAAGUGAGUUGAUAAAAACCCUUGUUUUCUUGUUUGUGUAUAAAUCACCAUUGCAGAACUAAAGAAACACCACUGGGAGGGCCAAAGGGACACCACUAGGAAGGCCACUAGAAGGGUUUAAGGGACAGCACUGGAAGGGCUGAAGGAAUACUACUGGGAUGGCCAAAGACAUGCCAUUAGAAGUGCCAGAGACACACCAUUAGAUGUGCCAUAUGUCACAAUGCAUGCUAUAGGUAAUCAUGUGACCAUGAUCUCUGUAAGAUAUUAUAUUUUGCAAAUCUUUUAUAUUCAGUCAUAUAAAUAGAUUUGCACAGCUCAUUGACAAACUAGAGAAAACAAAAUUAACCCAUUGCAGACGGAGAUAAAUUUGCUUGCCCAGCCUCCAGGAUAGGUUUUAUUUUAGAGAGAGACCGCUUGAAGCAAUAUAAUUUUAAUCAUCC
rnacentral:lncRNA from 1 species